rnacentral:lncRNA from 1 species
CUCGUUUGCAGCUUUUUCCUGAAUUCCUGGUAUAAAACAGAUUAUAGGAAAUAAAUGAAAAAUAGCCUCCCAAAUGGCCAAAAUGCCAAAUACCACCUCAAAUAGUUUCAAAUACAUCAAAUAAUCUAGCUAGAUCGUCACACCAAUUAAAAUAUUACAAUCUCAUAAAAAGCAAACCGUUACGACAUUACAAAGUUCAUAACCAACAUGACUGGAGGAAAAACAACAAAUUACAACACCAAAAUGUUUUGCAUCACUAAACCCUAAAUUAACAUAAACUGAGCAUCACCAAACUGUCAACAUAAGCCGAGCAUCACCAAAAUGAAUUGAAAGGCCACAAACUAAAUGUACUGCAUCACCUAACUGCAAACAAAAUAAAAAGAAAAAAAAAUUUAUUUUUGUAGCAUAAUGACCUUCUCCAUUCUCCAAUCAAUAAAUGUCGAAGAAUAAAACAUAAUCACCUGGAUAACAUAGCAUAUUAUAUAUAUAACUGAAAAAAGAGCAUCAACAUAUGAAAAGGAGCAUCAACUAGCUAGUCUACACAAAUACACAAUCUUCUUCUUAAUAUCAUUUGCGUGCAAUAAGAUGAUAGUAAGCCUUUUAUUUCACAUGGAUCACAUGAAAAAAAUGAACUUAAGUUGAAGAUCUUACCAAUUACCAAUAAGCCAACACAAUAAUCCAACAUUCCAACAAGCCAACAACAUAACCUGAAAUCAAAUUCAAACACACACGUUAAGACUGAUAUUUAGAAAAGUAAUACAAAAUUCAUAAAGUUAAACAAGAUAACACAAAAUUAUAACUAUUCAAGAUGUUACUAUAUACUUACAUCGUCAAACUUAUUUUAAACUUGAAACACAAAAAUAUAAAUAGAUAAUUCAGCCAUUAUAAACAAACAAACAAAUUAAAAAAACAACAACUAUUGAUUUGUAUAACGACAUAAACAUAAAAAAGAAUCAAUUCAAAGUUAUCAUAUUUCUCAAUAGGUAACCACUAAAGAACCAAAUUUUGAUAGACUAGAAACAGAUUUUUUGAGGUGAAUAAAAAUACAAUCCUAAGAUAACUAAACAUAUAUACAUGAGAGGCAUUGGACUGUGAUGCAUUCUUAUUUUUUGUUUACAUGUAUUGAUGUUACCUCAAGCAAGAAAAAAUAGAUAUGAAUGAUACUAGGUAACAAAUAGAUAUGAAUACCAUAAACACAAGAGUUAAGACCACCGAUUAUUAUUAAACAUACCAAGUAUUAUUACACAGUAAUGUAGUUUUCUCAAAGAUUUGUCCAAUAUGAGCAAUUCAGUUUAAAGCGAUCAAAAAAAAAGAAAUCUACAAUUAAAAUUAGAAACAAAAAGACAUGAAUGAUGAUUGAUGAAUGUAGUAAUUAAAGUGAUGAACAUCUGUUACAGAUUCAUACAAUUCAAAAUCUUCACUCUAGCUUCCUCUAUCUAUCAAAAAAAAAUUAUUAGUACAUUCGAUCCGUCAUCCAGUUAUUCCAAAGUUCCAUCUUCCAGGUUAGGUAUAUAUGCUCAGUCUGUCUGUUUGAAGAUUUUCUUUUUAAAGAAUUAGGAACAUAUUACACUUAUUAACUCAAAAAAAUUGAUCGAACUGUCUCACACCUGAAUAUGUGCUACGACACUUCUUGAUUAAUGAUUUUCAUUCGAAAUGGUUAUUUUAAGCAUCGUGUCAUGGUUUAAGUUCAUUUUCAUCACUUUGUGACGUGACGACGAAACUAAAAUUUUUAUCCUCUUCUUCGCCUCAGGCAGAAAGUGCCUAUACAUCUUCACUGAUAUACUGUAAAAUCGAAAUCUUGUAUAUAUCUUCUGAAAUUUCAAUUCCCAUGUAUAUCUGAGAUUCAAUGUGUUGGAUUGAAGACUAUAUGUACUUAUACUUUGAUUAUUACAUUUCAAAACAAAAUUAAAGUGAUGAACAUCUGUUACAGAUUCAUACAAUUCAAAUAUAAUUUUCUUUUUUUUUUGUUAAAACACGCUUUUUAAUCAGUCAAAUUUAAACUAAAAAGAAGAAAUGAAAAAACUUACCAAAUCACAAGCAAAGAAAACAACAGAAGAAGAAGUUGUGUUUAAUCUGAUCUAAACUGCUGAAGAAGAAGAACACGCUUUUUAAUCUGAUCUAAACUGCUGAAGAAGAAGAAGAACAUCAACAACACCUUCUCUAAUUCCAACUUUCUUAACAACAACACCUUCUCUAAUUUGAUUCGUUAUGCUUGUGUUUCAAAAGAAACUAUUGUUCUUGCAGAAAUUAGUUUUGGGGAAGAAGAUCUAAGCAAAUUAGCUUUACAAUGUCUUGAAAAUACUCCUCAAUUUCAUAGAUCGUUUUCACAUACAAUUGGAAGUAAGAUUUAUGUGUUUUUUUCUUAACAACGAACUGCCGAACUGAAGUCUGGAGACGAAGAUUGAGUUAGAGAAGAAGAUGAGACGGCAGAGACGGCUAGGUUUCAGGUUUGCAGAAUUGCAGCAGAAAAUUAUGUUAUGUUAUAUAUAGUGGGGGUAGGAUAGGAAUAAC